GGCAUGAACGUGUGUGCACAUUCCGUACUCCAGCCGAUCCCAAACCACAGCCUAGAAGGCGCACCCUGGAGGUGGCAUCGCCCUCUUUUAUAGCUGAGGAGACAGAGAGGAGAUUGUGCAAAAGUUGAGCCUCUGAGCACCUGCAAUUUGAGGUUUUGAGCUUGAAGUCUUUUCUUCCUUUUUCAAAAAUCCAAUGAGCCUGUCUCCUUUCUCAUAGAAAUCCGCCUGGCUCAGGCGUCCAGUGGCCUUCCCACAGAGAAGUUGGGGACAAGGGAGGACACUGCACAGGUCAGGCUUGAUUGGGCACAUCUGACUGGAACCAUUUCCACGUGAAGAGUUGGCAAAAUAAAUAACUAAAACGCUACCGUACUCUAACAAACAGGUGCUUUAUGGAGAGGAAAGGAAAGAUUGCGUGACUAUCAGGAUAGAACAAGAGACAUGGUGGCGAUUUGCCUCGAGGAACCGCUACACCGUUUUCCAAAGGGGCCUCACCAUUUCACCCUCCCACCGGCAGCGCAUCAGCAUUUCCUCCUUGAGAGGAAAUGUAUUGCAAAGCACGGGAUCAAGGCAAGAAGAACAUCCACUUAGGAAAAGGUGUCGUCAAAGCUUGUUCACAUUUAAGAACAAAACCGUGGCCUGCAUACGAUUAUUUUUUUAAA